UUAGAUCCACUUUUGACUUGAGGUAGUAUCAUUUAUAUAACGACCUCCCUCGUCAUAAUUGGUAAAGUACUGAUAGUAAAUGAAAAUAAGUGAGAAAACUUUUGAAGUAGUAAACUUAAAAUUUCAAGUCAGGCUAGACUCAAACAAAAUUUGAGUGAGGUAAGGUCUUGGGCAAUCUGGGGAAAUAAUUGGAGUGAAACGCUUGGUAAAGUCUCAUUUCCUUAUUGCUAAUAAGACGUUAAGGAAUUUGUAUGACAUUUCGAAAGUAAAUUUGGGUGAAUAGAAACGAGCUUGGCGCGAGGAGGUUGGUUAGAACGUCAAUGUUUCUAUCCCCUGCAAGCCGCUAUAGCAGUGAAAUUAAUUCCCGCAAUAGGAGGUUAAUCGCAGUUAAUGCAAAAAAAUUCAAAAUUGCUCAUUAUUCGGGAAUUGUGUUUUGAAAAGAGGCAAGAGCGACCUAGGGCAGCUUUCAUCUAUUUUCCAUCAUUAUCAUUAGUAAAGUUGACUCAGAUACCAUGAGGUACGUACUCACGGUUGGCUUGAGUACCACGUAUGUUAUACAUGAUAUCUUUUGAUUGGAUCAAGUAUCACGCCUGGAACAUAUAUGUCUGAUUCGUGUACCACGCCUAGUACAUAUGUGGUUGACUCGGAUAACACACCUAAUACAUAUGGCUCGGGUACCACACCUAAUACAUAUGAUUGACGUUAGACGAAAUGGAGAAAGAGUAGCAACUCUAGCUUUAGAACAGACAAUGUGAGAAUAAAAAAAGGCAGGGAUAGAGGAAAAUACAGGGUGUAGGGAGAGCAACACUCGCCUAGGGUGGAUCUCGCGCAACAAAUGCGUCGAGAUAGGUGACCCCUACCCACUCUAGGUUCGUGUUGAGGAGGACAUGAAGGUUAAGUGUAAGGAGUGUGUUGAACUCGAGAUGGUGACAAAAGUUAGGGGUGCAUACCUUCCCCUUAUGACUUAUGAAGUUGUUCAACAAGUGUUGGCCUUCUUGAGUGGGGAUAGCAGGUAGUGGAGCCACUCAAAAUCCAACCACUCAACCCGUUUCUACCACCGCUCCAAGAUAGAUGAGGCUUUAACUACUAAUGCAUUCUUUCUUCCCAUACUAAGCCCUAUCAUGAAUGAGACUAACCGUAAGUUGUUGACUAAGUUUCUGAAGUUGAAGCCUCCAUCAUUUCAUCAUAUUAAGAAUGAGGAUGCAUUGGAGUUCAUCUUAGAAUUGUUACGAGAGAUCGCAUGUUGGGUAUUAUAGAGCGGAGUUUGUUACUUUUAAGCUGUUAAGAUGUAGUGGAGGGUUCACGUGGAGUGUCGUUGGUCUUUUUUUCCUUCGAUGACUUGGUCCUAGUUUCCAUAGAAAUUUGUGCCUCGUACCCCAACAAUAGUAAUAAAAAGAGUGUGUGACACUUGAGUUGAACAACAUAUGACACUAAGCUACAUGCCUUGUUUCCUUAUGCUACCCAACUCUUGGGCACAGAGGAGGAGGGAAUGCGCCUGUAUGUGUAAAAUUUGAACACUGAAUUAUAAGUUUUAGUUGUGCA